GGGGAAUAUUGCACAAUGGGCGCAAGCCUGAUGCAGCGACGCCGCGUGGGGGAUGACGGCCUUCGGGUUGUAAACUCCUUUCGCUAGGGACGAAGCUUUUUGUGACGGUACCUAGAUAAGAAGCACCGGCUAACUACGUGCCAGCAGCCGCGGUAAUACGUAGGGUGCGAGCGUUGUCCGGAAUUACUGGGCGUAAAGGGCUCGUAGGUGGUUUGUCGCGUCGUCUGUGAAAUUCCGGGGCUUAACUCCGGGCGUGCAGGCGAUACGGGCAUAACUUGAGUACUGUAGGGGUAACUGGAAUUCCUGGUGUAGCGGUGAAAUGCGCAGAUAUCAGGAGGAACACCGAUGGCGAAGGCAGGUUACUGGGCAGUUACUGACGCUGAGGAGCGAAAGCAUGGGUAGCGAACAGGAUUAGAUACCCUGGUAGUCCAUGCCGUAAACGGUGGGCGCUAGGUGUGAGGGUCUUUUCACGACUUUCGUGCCGUAGCUAACGCAUUAAGCGCCCCGCCUGGGGAGUACGGCCGCAAGGCUA
rnacentral:rRNA from 1 species